rnacentral:rRNA from 1 species
GAUGAACGCUGGCGGCGUGCCUAAUACAUGCAAGUCGAGCGAACAGACGAGGAGCUUGCUCCUCUGACGUUAGCGGCGGACGGGUGAGUAACACGUGGAUAACCUACCUAUAAGACUGGGAUAACUUCGGGAAACCGGAGCUAAUACCGGAUAACAUGUUGAACCGCAUGGUUCAACAGUGAAAGACGGUCUUGCUGUCACUUAUAGAUGGAUCCGCGCCGCAUUAGCUAGUUGGUAAGGUAACGGCUUACCAAGGCAACGAUGCGUAGCCGACCUGAGAGGGUGAUCGGCCACACUGGAACUGAGACACGGUCCAGACUCCUACGGGAGGCAGCAGUAGGGAAUCUUCCGCAAUGGGCGCAAGCCUGACGGAGCAACGCCGCGUGAGUGAAGAAGGUCUUCGGAUCGUAAAACUCUGUUAUUAGGGAAGAACAAAUGUGUAAGUAACUAUGCACGUCUUGACGGUACCUAAUCAGAAAGCCACGGCUAACUACGUG